rnacentral:rRNA from 1 species
CAGUCGCCACGGUAAUACAUAGGUGGCAAGCGUUGUCCGGAAUUAUUGGGCGUAAAGGGCUCGCAGGCGGUUUCUUAAGUCUGAUGUGAAAGCCCCCGGUUCAACCGGGGAGGGUCAUUGGAAACUGGGAAACUUGAGUGCAGAAGAGGAGAGUGGAAUUCCACGUGUAGCGGUGAAAUGCGUAGAGAUGUGGAGGAACACCAGUGGCGAAGGCGACUCUCUGGUCUGUAACUGACGCUGAGGAGCGAAAGCGUGGGGAGCGAACAGGAUUAGAUACCCGUGUAGUCCCUGUCUCUUAUAC